rnacentral:rRNA from 1 species
GACGAACCGUGCAAACGUUGUUCGGAAUCACUGGGCUUAAAGGGCGCGUAGGCGGCCGUCCACGUCCGGGGUGAAAUCUUUCGGCCCAACCGGAAAAGGGCCUCGGAUACGGGGCGGCUCGAGGGGGGUAGGGGCAAGCGGAACUUCCGGUGGAGCGGUGAAAUGCGUUGAUAUCGGAAGGAACGCCGGCGGCGAAAGCGGCUUGCUGGACCCCAUCUGACGCUGAUGCGCGAAAGCGUGGGGAGCAAACAGG